AUCACAGCAAAGUGUACUAAUGUAGUUUAGUGAUGUCCAAAUGAAGCAAUGAACCGGUAUCGAACCGCUUCAUCAUUUGUUACUAAGCAGUGUCGACUGUUUGAACCAGUCACGGGAUUCACUCUGGAGAUCAAAGCCGUUUGUGCUUCUGACGUCAUCGGUCACGUGUCUUUUCCCGCAAACUAGCAAGCAGGGAAACAGUGGUUUGCGGAAAGUUUUGCUUCGAGUUUGAAGCUUGUAUCGGAGCGUUCGGCGUCAGAUAGCCGUCACUAAUGUCACUAAUGUAGGUGAAGACGUUUACUCUUAGCUUGCGUUAGUUUGUAAGUGCUGCCAAUGUCCCCUACGGUUGUUUGGCUAGCUAGCUAGCUAGCUAGCUAACGUCACGGCUAAAUGACCCUGUUGUUAGCUAGUGGCGGGAUCUAUGAUGACACGGACCGUUUCACCUGAGUGAUGGACGACAGUGUGGCCUCUUCUUCAAGGGUUGUGAGCUCGAGGCGUUGGACGAUGCUUGGACGACCAGGGGCUUUACCACAUCAGUCUGCAGAGUUUUGACAUCUUAAGCUGAAAGCAAAGACGCAGAAAACGAGCAGCUGGUUUUACAGAAACUGCUGCUGAUGCUGUGCACACCCUCCCCUCCUCCUGCUACAGACUGAUAGGGUCCUACCUCUCUCCCCCUGUGGGCCGGGUGA